UAGAUGGACUCAGGCCAGCUCAUUAGCUGUGAAAGUGGAGGGUCAGGAAUCAGGGCAUCCAUUGGUGUUGCCAAGUAGAGCCAUCAUUCAGGUAACCUCCUUUAGACUUCUGGAGGAGACACUGCUGAACCCUGCCUCGAUGGAGCAGCUUCUUAUAAGUUGUUCUCAGCACGAGGAUCCAAACAAUGCAACAACCUAAGAAGAAACGAUGUCUGAAAUAAGCUGUGCUGUGUCCUUGUUUCUUCUGGAAAGAAAGACUACAAUACCAACCCAAGUUUAGCAACCCAAGAUCCAAGAACUCUUGGUGGUGAGAUCUUCCUCCUGAGGAAUAAAGACAGCCAAUCAAUGCUCAUCAUAGAACUUUCUUGCCUCUGCCUGAGGCCGUUGCCUGCCAUGAUUGCUGAAAAGCCUCUUAAGUGGCCACUCAAGUUACUCUUCAUGCCCCAUCUUACCCCAUGAUGUGGGCGGGUGUGUUCCCUGAAAAUGUAUGUGUUCUAACCCCAA